UACGUAGGGGGCAAGCGUUGUCCGGAAUUAUUGGGCGUAAAGCGCGCGCAGGCGGCUUUUUAAGUCUGGUGUUUAAACCUAGGGCUCAACCUUGGGUCGCAUCGGAAACUGGGAGGCUGGAGUGUAGGAGAGGGAAGUGGAAUUCCACGUGUAGCGGUGAAAUGCGUAGAGAUGUGGAGGAACACCAGUGGCGAAGGCGACUUCCUGGCCUAUAACUGACGCUGAGGCGCGAAAGCGUGGGGAGCAAACAGG
rnacentral:rRNA from 1 species